rnacentral:rRNA from 1 species
AACGAACGCUGGCGGCAUGCCUAACACAUGCAAGUCGAACGAGACCUUCGGGUCUAGUGGCGCACGGGUGCGUAACGCGUGGGAACCUGCCCUUAGGUUCGGAAUAACUCCCCGAAAGGGGUGCUAAUACCGGAUAAUGUCUUCGGACCAAAGAUUUAUCGCCUUUGGAUGGGCCCGCGUUGGAUUAGCUAGUUGGUAGGGUAAAAGCCUACCAAGGCGACGAUCCAUAACUGGUCUGAGAGGAUGAUCAGCCACACUGGGACUGAGACACGGCCCAGACUCCUACGGGAGGCAGCAGUGGGGAAUAUUGGACAAUGGGCGAAAGCCUGAUCCAGCAAUGCCGCGUGAGUGAUGAAGGCCUUAGGGUUGUAAAGCUCUUUUACCCGGGAUGAUAAUGACAGUACCGGGAGAAUAAGCGCCGGCUAACUCCGUG